rnacentral:rRNA from 1 species
GUGCCAGCGGCCGCGGUAAUACAUGGGGUGCAAACGUUGCUCGGAAUCAUUGGGCGUAAAGCGCGCGUAGGCGGUUACACAAGUUGGAUGUGAAAGCCCUCGGCUUAACUGAGGAAGUGCAUCCAAAACUGUGCAGCUAGAGUACUAAAGAGGGUCGCGGAAUUCCCGGUGUAGAGGUGAAAUUCGUAGAUAUCGGGAGGAACACCGGUGGCGAAGGCGGCGACCUGGGUAGAUACUGACGCUGAGGCGCGAAAGCGUGGGGAGCAAACAGGAUUAGAUACCCCGGUAGUCC